CUUUCUUAUGCCUGUGUUUCUUCCUCCUCCUCCUCCUUCUCAUCUGUUUGUUUUAGUUCUUCCUCCUCUGCUGUCUUCUGCUUGUCCUUCCUCCUCCUCUUCCUGUCUCAUUACUUUUGGCUAGCAUAUAAUUAUAAGUUACUAUUUCUGGCUAUUAUUAUUAUUAUUGCUAUUAUUUGUUGUUACUAGCAUUACUAUUACUGGUUAUUAUUACUGUGAUGUCUUCACCGUUGAAAAAUAUGUUAAUUAAUAAGUUUAGCUCGGCCGUUAUGUCUCGUCUCAGUGUUACGUCAAAAGGUCAAUACUAGCAGCCAUAGGUUAGUUUACAGGUAGAGUAAUACUAGUGGUCAUAGGUUAGUUUACAGGUAGGUUGAUACUAGUGGUCAUAGGUUAGUUUACAGAUAGGUUGAUAGCAGUGGUCAUAGGUUAGUUUACAGGUAGGUUGAUAGCAGUGGUCAUAGGUUAGUUUACAGAUAGGUUGAUAGCAGUGGUCAUAGGUUAGUUUACAGAUAGGUUGAUAGCAGUGGUCAUAGGUUAGUUUACAGGUAGGUUGAUACUAGUGGUCAUAGGUUAGUUUACAGAUAGGUUGAUAGCAGUGGUCAUAGGUUAGUUUACAGGUAGGUUGAUACUAGUGGUCAUAGGUUAGUUUACAGGUAGGUUGAUAGCAGUGGUCAAAGGUUAGUUUACAGAUAGGUUGAUAGUGUUGGCCGAAAGUUAGUUUACAGAAAGUUGUUAGUUCUACAUUCAAUCCCUUAGGUGCACCCCCCCUCCCCCUUGGUCCAUGCCUGAGCGUGUGACAGCCACACUUAACCCAAAUCUGCUUCACGGAACAUUUCCUUUAUAUAUAUAUUUUUUUUAGUUUGAGUGCUUCGAUGCCUCAUAUUUUGUGCAAGUGAAUAAUGACUAUAACAUGACCAUGAAAAUUGGGUCAAGAUUGGUAAUAGUAAUGCACCUAUACUUUAUUUCUUUUGUAACCAAUUGCUCCUCCGUUGUCAUAUAUAUUUAUAAUAACCUUAAAACUUCCUGGGAAACUAUACGGAACAGUGUAGAGUGUAAGAAUAGCCAUGAAAUGUGUGGGGGAAACUGCACAGCCAUGGACGGCAGAGUAGCCCACACCAUUGUUCAGCAGCCACAACCCGCAGCUUGCCACAGUUUUAAUACAUGAGGAGUGUUCACGCUCUUACUAAAAGGGGGCUCUACCUUCCUCAACCCCCCUUGUGGUCACUAAAAUGACUGGUGAAUUCAUAUCGUCACCUUCGUAAAGAAACCGCUUGUCAUUAUUUUCUACUUUUCAGGAAAUCAGAAAAGAACUGUCAUCAUCUCAUUUGGCUUAAGAUUUAGGCAGAAAUGAAGAGGCCAAUUCUAGAACACUCAAACCCUGAAUAAUGAAGUCAACUAUACAAAAAUGGGCAUCGUGUUGAAAAAUUGAUAUAAACAAAAAUCUGGAAAUCACAAAAAAAUGACUUAGGCAAUUAUUUUAUGAGGGUGACGAUAUUUAACCUCCUGACAGGGUGUUCUACCCCCCCUCAAUCCCCUGUGCUUCCACAUUUCAUUGCAUUAGCCAUGUUGUGGUUAUUAUUCAUUUGCACAAAAAAUGAAGCAUCAAGGCACUCAGAUGGACUACAAAGGCUAUCAAAUGGAAGAAAAAAUAGGAAGCUGCAAAAAAUGAAAUGAAUGACCCUACGAGUAUGUCCCCGAGUGUGUCUAAGCAUAGGCGAAGAUGUCACCUGUCAACCCUCCCCCUGUCCCUUGAGUCAGUCACCCGGCCGUGGAGAGUUUGAUAAAAUGCUACACCCAAUGAGUUGAUUUAAUGAUGAGUCUUUGACAGUUUUCUCAGUGUAUCCGUGUGUGAGAAUUAAUGAUGCUUUAAAGAGUUUGAGGGUGUAUAUUUUUAUUAUGUCCUACUUGGAUAAUUAUAUAGUAAGCUAGAGUGUAGUUAACCUGAUUGCAGGGACGGGCCAAAUUUGUGGCUUUACCGUGUACCAGCGAUGGGCCAAAUUUGUGGCUUUACCGUGUACCAGCGAUGGGCCAAAUUUGUGGCUUUACCGUGUACCAGCGAUGGGCCAAAUUUGUGGCUUUACCGUGUACCAGCGACGGGCCAAAUUUGUGGCUUUACCGUGUACCAGCGAUGGGCCAAAUUUUUGCCAUGAUAUAAACCCCCCAAAAUAGAUGAUGCAUAAACUCAUAACAAAUGCGUCGAUAUAUAUUAUGAAAUGGUUUAUGUGAGUGAUGAUUUUUUCUCAUUUUUCACACUUAGAGGGGCUUAAGAAACAUGAUCCCCGCAGCUACAGGGUUAAGGAGGAGAAAUUAUCAUUAUAUAUAGUAGGUCAUGGAUAGCUUAUGGUAAUGGCAGAAAACUAAAUAUAGAGAAAAAUGAUGAUAACCGAGAAAGGGAGAGUUAGGAGUUAGAACUUAGUGUUAAAAUGAUGUGAUCUUAUGUGGUAUUGAUUUUUAUCUUUACCUGUCAUGAUGAUUAACUCUCUCUCUCUCUCUCUCUCUCUCUCUCUCUCUCUCUCUCUCUCGCGCUCUCUUUUUCUCUCCAACACAUUCUUUCCUCACCUAUCACUCCCUUUCUCUCUUAAUGCUCCCUUCUAUUUUCCUUCCCCCUCUCCCCAUCUCUCUCUCUCCCUUAUUUCUCUCCUACACAUUCUUUCCUCACCUUUCACUCCUCCUCCCUUCCCAACACUCCCUCACUCUUUCCCUCCUAUCUUCCCCUUUCUACCUU